rnacentral:rRNA from 1 species
CUGAACCAGCCAAGUAGCGUGAAGGAUGACUGCCCUAUGGGUUGUAAACUUCUUUUAUAUGGGAAUAAAGUUUUCCACGUGUGGAAUUUUGUAUGUACCAUAUGAAUAAGGAUCGGCUAACUCCGUGCCAGCAGCCGCGGUAAUACGGAGGAUCCGAGCGUUAUCCGGAUUUAUUGGGUUUAAAGGGAGCGUAGGUGGAUGUUUAAGUCAGUUGUGAAAGUUUGCGG